GUGCUGACGUGGCAGGGGGGUGACGGGGAUCAGAAGGCUAUUUUCCCGGGCUGAGGCUCGCCCACUGCAAUCCGGGUGUGCUGACACCUGCCAUUUCCUCAUUGUGGGAUACUCGACUAUAAAAUGUGUGGUUGUGGGGACUGUGUUUGCGCUCUCCCUGU